rnacentral:rRNA from 1 species
CUUGUACACACCGCCCGUCACACCAUGGGAGUUGGUUCUACCUUAAGCCGCCGUGCUAACCGCAAGGGAGCAAGCGUCCACGGUAGGGUCAGUGACUGGGGUG